CACGUAGGGUGCGAGCGUUGUCCGGAAUUAUUGGGCGUAAAGAGCUCGUAGGCGGUGUGUCGCGUCGGCCGUGAAAACCUGCAGCUUAACUGUGGGCUUGCGGUCGAUACGGGCAUCACUGGAGUGCGGCAGAGGAGACUAGAAUUCCUGGUGUAGCAGUGAAAUGCGUAGAUAUCAGGAGGAAUACCGAUGGCGAAGGCAGGUCUCUGGGCUGACACUGACGCUCAUGCACGAAAGCGUGGGGAGCAAACAGG
rnacentral:rRNA from 1 species